rnacentral:rRNA from 1 species
AUUGAACGCUGGCGGCAUGCCUUACACAUGCAAGUCGAACGGCAUCGCGGGAAAGCUUGCUUUCCUGGCGGCGAGUGGCGAACGGGUGAGUAACACAUCGGAACGUACCGGCUAGUGGGGGAUAACCCGUCGAAAGACGGGCUAAUACCGCAUACGCUCUUCGGAGGAAAGCAGGGGACCUUUGGGCCUUGCGCUAGCCGAGCGUCCGAUGUCCGAUUAGCUAGUUGGUGGGGUAAAGGCCUACCAAGGCGACGAUCGGUAGCGGGUCUGAGAGGACGAUCCGCCACACUGGAACUGAGACACGGACCAGACUCCUACGGGAGGCAGCAGUGGGGAAUCUUGGACAAUGGGGGCAACCCUGAUCCAGCAAUGCCGCGUGGGUGAAGAAGGCCUUCGGGUUGUAAAGCCCUUUCGGCAGGGAAGAAAUCGGCGGGGCGAAUAACCCUGCUGGAUGACGGUACCUGCAGAAGAAGCACCGGCUAACUACGUG